rnacentral:rRNA from 1 species
UACGAAGGGGGCAAGCGUUGUUCGGAAUUACUGGGCGUAAAGCGCACGUAGGCGGAUUGCUAAGUCAGGGGUGAAAUCCUGGAGCUCAACUCCAGAACUGCCUUUGAUACUGGCGAUCUUGAGUCCGGGAGAGGUGAGUGGAACUGCGAGUGUAGAGGUGAAAUUCGUAGAUAUUCGCAAGAACACCAGUGGCGAAGGCGGCUCACUGGCCCGGUACUGACGCUGAGGUGCGAAAGCGUGGGGAGCAAACAGG